UUCCUCCACACUGCUGAAGCACUUGAAAUUAAUUUGGUGGAAGAAUGCAGCUAAAAAGACUGGGGAGGUCAGGCUGACUGCAUGAGACUUGAGUGUGCUGCUGGGCACAGGUAGCAGUCUGAGGAGAAUCAGGGAAAGCAAACUUUCUGCAAAGGAACUUGGAAUUUUAUCCAUCGGAUACCUACAAACACACAUCUUGCUCAGUGAGCUGCCUCUGUGUAUACAGUCCAUAAUUUUAUGCACUGGCUGUAAACUGGCUUCUCAUCUGAAAUAAUGAAAAUUCUCUGGAAAUGGGUGGAGCAUAUCUGGGGAGUACAAGGAGCAACGCUCAGAGAUCACACACUAGAAAAAGAGAUGGAAGUUAGAAGACAUUCACAGGGUACAAAAUCAUUGCACAUAUUUAAGUGUGAAAACUCAAAGGAAACACUACAGUAGCCACAUGGUUUGUGAGAAGUCAUCAAGCAAAUACCAAGUUUUCCCUGGCACUGUUUUUAAACUACAUCUCAAAUUCUAAUCAGUACAAACAUAUUGGGAUUAUCUGCAAAAUGGUAGUUGUGUAGGCAUAAGAAGUUAUUUCUAUUUUUAUUAUGCUUCAAAAAAUCUUUGUUUCACAUGACCUAAAUUUCAGGCUCCAACUUAUAAGUAUCCAUUAAUGCUCUUAGAAAUUACCUAAAUUAAUAGCUAUAGAUUCCAGAGAACCAUCUUCACCAUUUGAAAAGCAAAAUGCUUCUUUUCUGAUGCCUAAAUAUACCAGAUUUUUAGCUGAAAAAGAGAGACAAAUAUAGGUAUAGCAAAGAAAAAUAACUAGUAAUCAGAUGAAGUGGGCAAAUGGAUGAAUUCCAAUUUUACAUAUUUAUAUUUUAUUUUUUAAUAUUUAUAGCAUGUGUGGUAAACUGUGCCCAAAGCUUAUGAAUGAGAAAAAGACACUGUCAACAUAAGAACGGGUUUCCAAAGCAAAGAAACUGAACUCAUCCACGUGUAAAUCACAGCACAAAAAUUACCUCCUUUGCCCAGACAUUUCUAGUACAACACAUGAUGAUAAAGAAAAUACUGCUCAGGAACACUUGCCCAAGACAAAAAAGACUAGAAAUUUCUGCUAGCUACUAAAAUCUGACAAACUGAUCAAUUGCCUGCAGCGUAUUUGGGUCAGUUAGCAGGAUGAGUAUGUGAAAAAAUUCAGAUAGAAGGAAUAAGUAAAAUGAAGAUAAAGGACUGUAGCAUCAGUGAUGCUGCAGCUCAGCUGUGCAUCAGAACUGGAAUGAUAGGGAGGUAAAAGACUUUAGGUACUUCACCUGUCUUAAGUGUAGACAUAGGCUAUGUAGUCUUUCUGCUGUUGUCUACAACCAAAUUCAGGGUAGGUGUAAUCCUAACUGAUUGCCAUGGGAUGUGCUUAUUCCAAGCACAUGCUGGAGAAAGUAAUGUCACACAAGUAUUUCCAUGUGUGGUCAGUAACUUGCUUUAGAAGGGGUUCAAAAUACUUAUAAGAAGACACACGUCUGUGGUGGUAAGAAAUGACCUCAAUGAUCUACCUUAAAGCACUUCACAGAGCAGAAAAUGCUUAGCAUGAUAAAAUAAAUUUUAUAUGUGAUUUAAUAUAUUACUACAGUAGAAACAUUACAGAUAAUUGCAGGUGAUUUUUUUCCAUUUUUUUCUGGCCUUAAAACUGUUAGUACAAUCAUCUAAUCAGGCAGUUUUUAAAAGUAAACUAGACUUUUCAUCUGGGUUGGCUCUUUGAAGUCACAUUCUGUUUUGUUGCGAUUGUCUGUAUUUGUAGUAUUUCUCUCAUCUGUGCUUAUUAUCCACAAUCUCAGCAGCUGAAUAAGCAUUUUGCAAGUCUAGGUAAGAGUUUCAUGUCAGAUAAUCAUUUUUACUGACUGCUCAUUUCAAUCAGCUAAUCACUUAAAAUUCGUUAAUGAUUGUCUUCUAUCUUUUUAUAGAGAGCACAGCACAGAGUGAAUCUGAAAUGUGUAAAUAUCAGAUAAGAAGGUUUAAAUGUAAGAAGAGAUUUGUCCACAAGAAUCAAGAAAACCGCAAACCCACAAUCAACAUCAUGUAAAAGGAACAAAUUAACAUUAAGCUCUAUAAUUACUUUAAAAUUUAGAGGCCUCACAUAUAUGCAGAAAAUAUCCUUUUGUAAUGUGGUUGAAAUUAUAUUUCUGAAAACAGAUGCUUUUUCCUGCCAUCUGUCAUAUGCCCGUUUGUACCCUAGUCUUCUUACUUGUUUAGAAGCCAAAAUAAAUAAACCAAAAAUGUGUCCUGAAAAGCACUGAUAAAA